rnacentral:rRNA from 1 species
CGUAGGGUGCGAGCGUUAAUCGGAAUUACUGGGCGUAAAGUGUGCGCAGGUGGCCGCGCAAGUCGAGUGUGAAAUCCCCGAGCUUAACUUGGGAAUUGCGCUCGAAACUACGUGGCUCGAGUGUGGCAGAGGAAGGUGGAAUUCCACGUGUAGCGGUGAAAUGCGUAGAGAUGUGGAGGAACACCGAUGGCGAAGGCAGCCUUCUGGGCCAACACUGACGCUCAUGCACGAAAGCGUGGGGAGCAAACAGGAUUAGAUACCCUGGUAGCCCACGCCCUAAACGAUGAUGACUAGUUGUUGGGGGAGUUAAAUCCCUUAGUAACGCAGCUAACGCGUGAAGUCAUCCGCCUGGGGAGUACGGUCGCAAGAUUA